UAUUUUCAGGGUGGGGAGACGGCUGAUUGAAACCGAAAGUAAAGUUGUUCUUUUGUUCAGGAUCCAUUUUGAGACGACAGAGCAGAAAACACUACAUGGAGAUUAUUGAAAAAUAAAGGGUCAGUGCUCUAAAAUGAGUCUCUCUGGGGAGAGAGAGGAGGGGGGCCCUGCCUCUAAAAUGCAUCUCUCUGGGGGACAUGACACCAAAGCUAAGAGCGCCCGGCCCGGGAUUCAAACCAGCCACCUUUCAGCCACAGGUCCAACUCCUGCCACAGCUCCAACUCCUUAAUCGCUGGGCGAAAACCUGAGUUAAUCUUGGGAAAUUAGCAUAAAUUAAUCUGCCAAAAUGAAGACAAAAUGCUUUGGAGACAUACAUGGUAUCACUUGUUAUACAUAAGUAUUAUACAUAAAUCAUUGCCAAAAGGACAGGACAUAUAUUAUUUAUGGAUUGAUCAUAUCAAAUAUCAAAACAUUAUUUUAACUACUACAAAGCAUUUACAUGUGGCUCAGGAACCACUGACUCACUGCAUUGUUCUAUAGUAUUAUCAAGACACCUGCUGUUAACUCUUAACUACUUAGGACAGCUCACGAGGUGUUCUAAAUAUCUGCUGACUAGGUGGGACUAGAGAUUUCAUGCAUAGCUUUAAUUUAUUCCCCGAAGUGUCAAAUGUCUUUAUUCUCAGCACUUAUACGACCACUUCUCUACUCUGAGACGCUUUGUGGAUAUGGGCCUAGAUCUCAAAAUAUUGUUAUAAAAAAAGUGGAACGUUUGUUUAACAUAAUAAUAAAAAAUGAAUAUUACUAAUGUAA